AUGUUGGUAAUUUGGUUUGCACCCCCACCGACACCGACUUGGGGAUCCCGAUGUCCCCGACCCAUCUUCCUCUUUCCUCUCCCACCCAGCCAUUUGAAACUGCGGGGAAGAAACCAGAACGCGGAUUCGAGCUCCCUGGCUUGUCUUGCAACCCCACGGAUGUGGGGCUGGUGCAGGACUGCCUCCGCCCAGCAAUCAAACUCAUGCAGCCUCAGCCGGAGGAACCCACCCCUUCUGAUCCGUUUCGGCUGCAACGCGGUGGUGGGGUUGUUAACCCUGACCUCCCUUGCAAAGACCCGUGGGAACUCCCUGGAUGGUUUAGUCCUGUGCCAUGUAUUCGAGACAGACUCACCCGACUACGAAGACAACCCCAAAUGCCUAGGAUGCCAUCGAGGAGCAUGCAGUGGACACCACAAUGAUCACGAAUUCGGAGCUCCAAGCGAGGACACUUCACUCAAUUCACCACAUCCAGGAUCCAGGCCAAUGCACUAUUACCCGAAGCACCAUUCUGACCCAAGAUUAAAGUCUUACAUUGAACAACUUGGAAACCUCUUGUUCAGUGACUCUGAUCCUGACAACUCCGCAGAUACGGGAAACUGUGGUGCAGGAAGAGGCGACCCUCCAAUCACUGACUAUGGGCAGUCGAGAAAGCGCAAAAAGAUCUCAGAUGUUUGGGAUUACUUCACCAAGAUAUAUGCGCUCGACAUCAACGGGAAGGUUUUGACAUUUGCGGCUUGCAACCACUGCUGCAAGAUACUGACAGCGAGUUCCAAGAAUGGAACCUCGCAACUUGCAAGGCACACGUGCCUGUGCAAGUUCAAACCAGUAGCAGCUGGCAGAAAUGCCAAGGACUCCGGCGGCAACCCCAAUGUCCUAUUGUCCUAA
rnacentral:rRNA from 1 species